GUGCCCGGGGCGCGGGGGGCGGAGCCCGGCCUGGGGUGCGGGUCCAGACUCCCUCAGUGACUGCCCUGGAGCUCGCGCAUGAGGGGAGCCGGGCAGACGCCCGCCCCCUCACAAAGCCUGAGGAGGCUGCGGGGACCGGGUGGGGGGCUGGAAAGAGCGUGAGGGGUGGAGGGGCCCUCGGGUGCUUCCACCUUCCCGGGAGCGGCGAGGGCAUGGGGGCCAAGCCGACUCUCAGGUCUGGACUUCCUCAGGGUGCACAAAACCCGAGGGAGCGGGCUGAGACGUGGUCCCCGGGAGGCGGCUGUCCCCCCUCGGGGGGCCGCGCAGGAGGGCAGAGGCCGGAGGGAAGGGCCGAGCCAACUGGCCGAGUCUGACACGUCGAAGGAGAAGGAGCUCUCUUCUCUCCGACCCUCGGCCCUCCGCACCUGAGGAGCCGCGCUCUGUUGCCAUUCCAAGCUUGUGUGGGAGAAGACUGCUGUGCGCCUGUGUCUGUCCGCCCGGGCGACUCCAGCCCUCGGUUAAUGAAAGGCAAGAAUACUGGAGUGUGUUGCCAUUUCUUCUCCAGGGGAUCUUCCUGACCCAGGGAUCA